rnacentral:rRNA from 1 species
UACGGGGGGAGCAAGCGUUGUUCGGAUUUACUGGGCGUAAAGGGCGGGUAGGCGGCCACCGCAAGUCAGUUGUGAAAUCUCCGGGCUUAACCCGGAAAGGUCAACUGAUACUGCGGGGCUAGAGUGCAGAAGGGGCAACUGGAAUUCUCGGUGUAGCGGUGAAAUGCGUAGAUAUCGAGAGGAACACCUGCGGCGAAGGCGGGUUGCUGGGCUGACACUGACGCUGAGGCGCGAAAGCCAGGGGAGCGAACGGG